AUGACAUUUGAUAGUAUGGAAGCGGUCGAGGAGUUUUACAAGGCUUAUGCACACAAUGUUGGAUUUUCAGUUCGAAUUGGACAGAAGAAGACUGUAGAUAAUGUGAUGGUCUGGAGGCGUUUCCUUUGUUCAAAAUUAGGAUUCCGAACAGAGAAGGUGGAUGAACCCAGGACGAAUUUGAAUGGAGAGAAGAAAAGAACACAUGCAAGAAAGAUCACUAGAUGUGGUUGUGAGGCCAUGAUAACCGUGAAGCGUACAAAGGAUGGCAAAUACUCGGUAUCAGAUUUUCAUGAAGAACACACCCAUGAUUUUGUCACACCUAGUAAGCAACAUUUAAUCAAGUCUAACAGAAAAGUCAGUGAAAAGGCCAAGGGCACACUAUUCACAUGUCACGCAGCUAGCAUUGGUACAUCUGGGGCGUUUCGGUUGCUUCGUGCUGGUGAGGGCGGAUUUCAGUUUGUGGGGUGCACAAAAAGAGACCUGCAAAAUUAUCAUCGUGACAUGAGAAGUACUUUCAAGGAUUCAGAUGCUCAAAUGUUCAUUGACAACCUCAGGAAGAGGAAGAAAAUCAACCCGGGGUUCUUCUUUGAGUAUGUUCUUGAUGAUAAAAACUGUCUGACACAUGUAUUUUGGGCUGAUGCUUUUUGUAGAAAGAAUUAUGCUUUGUUUGGAGAAAUGGUAUCCUUUGACUCUACAUAUAGCACCAACCAGUACAACAUGAUUUUUUGCCCAUUCACAGGAAUAAACCACCACAUGGGAUCUGUUUUUUAUGGUGCCGCCUUGAUUGUAGAUGAGAAGAUAGAGUCAUAUGAAUGGGUAUUUGAAACGUUCUUGAAAGCAAUGGAUGGGGCAGCACCAAGGCUUAUAGUAACUGAUGAAGACCAAAGCAUGAAGGCUGCAAUUGAACAUAUAAUGCCAAACACUAUCCAUAGGUUAUGCAUGUGGCACAUAAUGAGAAAGCUUUCAGAAAAGGUUGGCCCUCCAUUGAGAGAGGAUGAACAUUUCUAUAGUACAAUUAACUCAUGUGUAUGGGGCUCUGAAAACCCAGCUGAAUUUGAGGCAAAAUGGUCUUCGUUGAUUUCUGAAUUUGGGCUUGGGGAAAACACAUGGUUUGCCAGGAGAUACGAACUUCGUGAAUCAUGGAUACCAGCCUACUUCAGAGGUGUUUUUUUGGGUGAGACUCUAAGAACCACUUCAAGGUCGGAGAGUGCUAACUCGUUUUUCAAUCACUUUAUUGGCUACAAACAUGCUUUGGUGGAGUUUUGGAUUAGGAUUGGUACAGCCCUAGAAGAACAACGUCAGAAUGAACUCAAGGCUGACCACGAGUGCCUCAAUUCUAUGCCUCCAUUGAUUACAUCUUGGGAGAUUGAGAAGCAUGCUAGUCUGGUCUUCACCCAUGAGGUUUUCAAAUAUUUUCAGAAGGAGGUGCGUGCAGCUAGAGAUCAUUGCUUGAUUGAAAGCAUAUCACAGGAAGGUGACGUGAGAACCACGGUUAUAGGUGGUGACCGCUCUUCGAAGUCUCGAGAAGUUCAAUUCAACACAGCAUCCAUGAGUGGUCAUUGCUCUUGCAUGUUAUUUCAGACACGUGGAAUUCCAUGCCGACAUAUCAUUGUUUUUUUGAGAGGUGCAAAGAUGAAUGAGCUACCUAGCCAUUUUAUUCUAGAUAGGUGGAAGAAAACGGUUAACAGGAGGGUACUAUAUGAUAGCUACGACAACUUGCUUGAAGAGAAUGAAAGGUUGUUGCCAAUCAUCCUAGUAGACAAGAUGAGUUUGAGGCAUAUAUUGGUUGUACUAUGCCUAAUCAAGUUGAAAUUCAUCCACCAACAGAUGUCCAUACAAAAGGGAGAUGCAAAAGAAUUAAGGGGCACUUAG
rnacentral:rRNA from 1 species